rnacentral:rRNA from 1 species
AGUCUGACGGAGCAACGCCGCGUGAGUGAUGAAAGGUUUUCGGAUCGUAAAGCUCUGUUGUUAGGGAAGAACAAGUGCGAGAGUAACUGCUCGCACCUUGACGGUACCUAACCAGAAAGCCACGGCUAACUACGUGCCAGCAGCCGCGGUAAUACGUAGGUGGCAAGCGUUGUCCGGAAUUAUUGGGCGUAAAGGGCUCGCAGGCGGUUUCUUAAGUCUGAUGUGAAAGCCCCCGGCUCAACCGGGGAGGGUCAUUGGAAACUGGGAAACUUGAGUGCAGAAGAGGAGAGUGGAAUUCCACGUGUAGCGGUGAAAUGCGUAGAGAUGUGGANGNGAACACCNAGNUGGNCGAAGGCGACUNCUCUGGUCUGUAACUGACGCUGAGGAGCGAAAGCGUGGGGAGCGAACAGGAUUAGAUACNNCCUGGUAGUCCACGCCGUAAACGAUGAGUGCUAAGUGUUAGGGGGUUUCCGCCCCUUAGUGCUGCAGCUAACGCAUUAAGCACUCCGCCUGGGGAGUACGGUCGCAAGACUGAAACUCAAAGGAAUUGACGGGGGCCCGCACAAGCGGUGGAGCAUGUGGUUUAAUUCGAAGCAACGCGAAGAACCUUACCAGGUCUUGACAUCCUCUGACAACCCUAGAGAUAGGGCUUUCCCUUCGGGGACAGAGUGACAGGUGGUGCAUGGUUGUCGUCAGCNUCGUGUCGUGAGAUGUUGGGUUAAGUCCCGCAACGAGCGCAACCCUUGAUCUUAGUUGCCAGCAUUCAGUUGGGCACUCUAAGGUGACUGCCGGUGACAAACCGGAGGAAGGUGGGGAUGACGUCAAAUCAUCAUGCCCCUUAUGACCUGGGCUACA